UUCGAGUGGCGGACGGGUGAGUAACGCGUGGGUAACCUGCCUUACACAGAGGGAUAACACCCGGAAACAGGUGCUAAUACCGCAUAAGCGCACAGGGCCGCAUGGCCCGGUGUGAAAAACUCCGGUGGUGUAAGAUGGACCCGCGUCUGAUUAGCUUGUUGGCGGGGUAGGGGCCCACCAAGGCGACGAUCAGUAGCCGGCCUGAGAGGGUGGACGGCCACAUUGGGACUGAGACACGGCCCAAACUCCUACGGAAGGCAGCAG
rnacentral:rRNA from 1 species